GAAAUUUAAGGGCGUACGGUGGAUGCCUUGACUUUAAGAGGCGAUGAAGGACGUGGCGUUGCUGCGAUAAGCUUCGGGGAGGUGCUUAGCAACCUUUGAUCCGGAGAUUUCCGAAUGGGGAAACCCUGUUCCAUUUAAACGGAACAAUUUUUAUCUUUAUGAUAAAAGAGCGCACCCUGGGAAGUGAAACAUCUCAGUACCAGGAGGAAAAUAAACCAACGCGUGCGUAGCACGCGGUAUUUAAAUAUUUAAAUGUUUAAAUCUCGCGUGUUACGCACGCACAUUUCCCCAGUAGCGGCGAGCGAAAAGGAAGAAGCCCAAACUUCGACGCAAGUCGGAGGGUUGUAAGGUAGCAGUUUUUAUUUAAUUAGAGAGGAGUCAAAAAAUAAGUUAUUAGCUUAAAUUGCUGGAAAGCGACACCAUAGAGGGUGAUAGUCCCGUAAGCGAAAAUAAUUUAUCUCUUUUAUUGCUAUUCUUGAGUACCCCAGGACAUGAAUGGCCGGGGGGAAUCUAGCGGAACUAACCGCUAAGGCUAAAUACUCUUAAAGAUCGAUAGUGAACUAGUACCGUGAGGGAAAGGUGAAAAGCAGCCCGAUUAGGGCGGUGAAAUAGACCUGAAACCGUAUGUUUACAAGGAGUCGAUGCUCCGCUUCGGCGGGGCUACGGCGUGCCUAUUGAAGAAUGAGCCAACGAGUUUAUUCAUACUGCUGGUGAAGUGGACUAAAACCACAGAACCAUAGGGAAACCGAGUGUUAAUAGCGCGCAGUCGCGGAGCGAAAGCAAUGUGACAGUAUAGUAGUAUGCAUAAGACCCGAAACUAGGUGAGCUUGCCAUGAGCAGGAUGAAGUGCCGCGAAAGCGGCAUGGAGGUCCGAACCGGUAGAUCGUACAACGUCUUCGGAUGACUUGUGGUAAGGAGUGAAAAGCUAAUCGAACCUAGUAAUAGCUGGUUCUCUCCGAAAUAGCUUUAGGGCUAGCGUCAAAUGUUUUCUCUGGGGGUAGAGCACUGGAAGAUUCGGACAGGUCGCAAGAUCGCUGAACCUAUCAAACUCCGAAUACCAGAGACCAUAGUUUGGCAGUUAGGCCAUGGGGGCGAAGCUCCAUUGGCCAAAAGGGAAACAGCCCAGAUCUCAAUAUAAGGUCCCUAAAUUCAUGCUAAGUGUAAAAUAAGAAGGUGGAGUUUCUUAAACAAUGAGGAGGUUGGCUUAGAAGCAGCCAUCCUUUAAAGAUAGCGUAACAGCUCACUCAUCUAGAGAUUUUGCGUCGAAAAUAAUUGGGGCUAAGCAUGAUACCGAAUGUGAGGAUUUUAGAAGUCUACGGACACCUAAAGUGGUAGGAGAGUGUUCCACUCUGCUGUGAAGGAGUACUCGUGAGAGACUCUGGAGCGUGUGGAAGUAAGAAUGUUGGCACAAGUAACCGCAAUGACGCUGAGAACGCGUCACGUCGAAAGAUCAAGGUUUCCUUGGUAAUGUCAAUCAGCCAAGGGUUAGUCGGGCCUAAGGGAAUGGCGAAAGCCGUACUCGAUGGGCAGUAGGUUAAUAUUCCUACACUUUUGUAUUUUGUGACGGGAUGACGGAGGGUAGUAUGUAUCGCUCAUUAUUGGAUUUGAAGUUCGUGUCUUGAUUAUGCUCUAUAGGAAAAUCCGUAGAGUGCCUUAGAUGGCGCAUGAAAGAGAAGCGAAAAGUUUUAUUCUUCGGGAUAAGAUAAUGAUACAAAGCACGCUUCCAAGAAAAAUCUCUAAACUUAUGAAUAUAGAAUCCGUACCGCAAACCGACACAGGUGAUCAGGUCGAUUAGACCAAGACGAACGAGUGAGUGGUCCCCAAGGAACUCGGCAAAAAAGCAGCCGUAACUUCGGGAUAAGGCUUCCCCAUGCAUCACAUUGCAUGUGAUGCGAAAUUUAAAUGUUGAAAUAUUUAAAUAUUUAAAUCUCGCAUCGCGCGUAGCGUGAUGCAUGGGGCGCAGUGAAAGUAUCUCUGGCAACUGUUUACCAAAAACACAGCUCCCUGCGAACUCGUAAGAGGAUGUAUAGGGGGUGACACCUGACCAAUGCCAGAAGGUCAAAUAUAGCCGUUGUGCGCAUCACAUUGCAUGUGAUGCUGAUGUUUAAACAUUUAAAUAUUUAAAUUUCAGCAUCGCGCGUAGCGCGAUGCGCAUGGUGAGUUAUAUAAGCCCUGGUGAAUGUCGGCCGUAACUAUAACGGUCCUAAGGUCCUGACGUUUUGAUCUCAAAUCAAGACGGAAGGAUGACUGGGACUGUUGUAGAAAAAGGUAAAUAAUUAAAUUAAAAAAUUAUUAGAUUAUUCGAAUGCUACCUGCUUUGCAGUAAUGCAAAGACAGUCAAAACUUGGCUAACGAGAGACCAGCGUCAAGUACCCUAACUUCUAACGAAGUGGGUAAAGAUAGAGUCCUUCUUAGGAGUAGAAGAGCGAAAUUCCUUGUCGGGUAAGUUCCGACGCGCACGAAUGGUGUAAUGACUGGAGAACUGUCUCGGGGACCAGCUCGGUGAAAAUACAAUACCGGUGAAGAUGCCGGUUAAGUGCAGUUAGACGAAAAGACCCUAUGAAGCUUUACUAUAACUUUAUAUUGAGCAUAUUUUUGGACUGCGUAGAAUAGAUGGGAGAGGUCUGAUGGAUUCGUUUUCGGAUGAAUUCUACUCGUCAGUGAAAUACCAUUCUUUUUGAGGAUAUGUUCUAACCAAAACGGCAAAAACGUUUUGAGACAGUAUAUGGCGGAUAGUUUUACUGGGGCUGUACCCUCGAGUACUUGAAACACCUCAUCCCCCGCCUUCCCCUGAAAGGGGAAGGGGCACCCUCUCCUUUCAGGAGAGGGCAGGGUGAGGUUGGGUUUUGAGUAUUCGAAUUUUACAGCUCCAAUGUCAAAGAGACUCUUUGACAUGAAACAAAAAUAGGGGGGCUUUCACGAAACAGAUAGAGUUUUAGACUCUAGACAGAGGCUAAACCUCUGUCUGUAUCAAAAUUGUGAUUGGAAAGUUGGGAAUUUGCUGGAAAAACCGGUUAAAACAUUCUUAAUUACAAAAUGUUCACCCGACCCUAGAGCAAACAAAGAUUGCUCGGGUUUAGGGGGUAUGGUAUACUACUUGCAUUAGUAAGUAACAAUGUAUACCUGCGGUUAAUCAGCAGGGAAAUAAAAUUAUAUGGGAGAAAAUGCACCAAAACAAGAAGCACCUUCAAUUAAAUCUUUAUUGACAAAAAGACAGAAAGAUUCUUUCAUAAAAUUUUUCGGUCAAAAUUGGUAUGAAAGAAUAGACGCUUUAACUCCACAAGAAUGGGAAAAGGUACGUCAAACAGCCGAAGAUUUAAAAGAAAUAGGACGUUUCCUUAUAAAGUAAAAAAACUAAUUAAAAUAAUUCCCUCAGAGACUACAAACCAACCUCGCCUCAUCGGCGAGAAUGUAUAGUCCGAUCUUCAUGGCGACAUGAAGUUAACACAAAUGCCUAAAAAGUAAAGGAGGGGUUUAAAGGUCAGCUAGGCGCGAAUGGAAACCGUGCCGAUAGUGUAUGAGCACAAGCUGGCUUGACUGUAAGACGUACUUGUCAAGCAGGUGGGAAACCAGAAUCAAGUGAACCGACCACCCGUGUUAGACGCGGUGGAAGAUUAACGGAUAAAAGCUACUCUAGGGAUAACAGGCUAGUUCCGCCCAAGAGUUCAUAUCGACGGCGGAGUUCGGCACCUCGAUGUCGGCUCACCUUAGCGCGGCGGCGGAGAAGCUGCCAAGCGUUUGGCUGUUCGCCAAUUAAAAAGGUACGCGAGCUGGGUUCAGACCGUCGAAAAGCGAAGCUUUUCGACAAGUAAAAAGUUAUAAAGUCGAAAGUAAAAAGUUUGGCUGAUCGACAGUUUGAACCCUCAGAGGCUAAAACAUUUGCUUUGCAAAUGUUCGCCCGAACCUAGAACAAACGAAGUUUGUUCGGUUUUAGGGAAGAAAAAAUUACUGUUUUAAUCGAAGACAACCAAGUGCAUUAAAUUGCACACACGGCGGCGUCCCGAUGUAAAUCGGGAUGGCAAGCUAAUUUAUAUCGGAGAAAUCCCUAGAACUUUUGUAAACAAAAGUUCGGGCGAUAGUUUGCUUUGCAAAUUAUUUAGCCUACUAAAUUUUUAGGGAUAACGCCGAGGGAAUUCCCAUAAAUGGGAUGCCCGUAGAGACUGAAUGUUAGACAUCCUGAGCUUGUCGAAGGAUGAUGUCACAGUCCAAUCCCACGAGUAAUCGUGGACAUCCUAACCCGAUAGCGGGCGGAUAAAUAGAUGCGUGAGACAGGUUGGUCUCCUAUCUACUGCACUCGUUGAUUCUUGAAAAGAUCUGCUUCUAGUACGAGAGGACCGAAGUGGACUGACCUCUGGUGUGCCUGCUGUUCUGCCAAGAGCAAUGCAGGGUAGCUAUGUCGGGAAUGGAUAACCUCUGAAAGCAUCUAAGAGGGAAGCCAGCUUUAAGAUUAGGAAUCGUUAAGAACCGUGAGAGAUGAUCACGUUGAUAGGCUUUAAGUGUAAGGCGAGUAAUCGCUUGAGCUGAGAAGUACUAAUGUUUCGAUU
rnacentral:rRNA from 1 species